GACGAACCGAGCGAACGUUGUUCGGAAUCACUGGGCUUAAAGGGCGCGUAGGCGGGUGCUCAAGUCUGUGGUGAAAUCCUCCGGCUCAACCGGAGAACUGCCAUGGAUACUGGGUGCCUCGAGGGUGGUAGGGGUAUGCGGAACUAUCGGUGGAGCGGUGAAAUGCGUUGAUAUCGAUAGGAACUCCGGUGGCGAAGGCGGCAUCCUGGACCAACACUGACACUGAGGAGCGAAAGCCAGGGGAGCAAACGGG
rnacentral:rRNA from 1 species